CCGGGGCCUCCGCGUUGCUGCCACUCGACUUCAUCGCGCCGUUCUGGGCAGUCCCCGAAGGUCCCCGCCGUUAAGAGGACCUGCAGACUCAGACCACUCAGUCCUCAGUGCCGGACAAAACCUGAGGCUUCGGGGAGGUCAGUGGGAGGAGGCAGAAAACAGGCAUAUACACAUAUGACAGUUUUCUCCAGCGAAAUUUGCGUGCAAGGGAUGUGUGCACUUUCAGAGAAGGAAGUGGGGAGACGUCUUGCCGGAAGCUCUCUGAAAAUUCCUGCGGAAAGCCCAGCUUCAGGCUGACGCCGCUCCUGGCACUGAGCAGUUUCGCCAAACCGGUCGAGGUGCCCUGGCAGGGGAGACAGUGGCUUGUGUGCCACUCACUGGGCCGGAGGCCCUGGGCUCCUCACUUCCCACCCCGCACUCCGGCCUCCUCUGCGGGAGCUCGCCGACCAACUGGAGCUCACACGGCUCUCGCUCAAGGCGGCCAGAGCUUCCAUGGCGGAGUGUGCGGGUCCCUCGAGGCUCACGCGCGGUGAGGAGCGCCCACCGGACUACUUCACGUCACCAGGCGGAGGCAAAAGUAGCACAAAGUCCCGGGAGGAGCCCCGGUAGCUGUGGGGACCCUGAGGUGGAUCCCGAAUGAGCAGCACCACCUCCCAACGAAGCUCCGGGCCCAGGGCCAGCUCUCCGAAAAGAUGACUGCCUGACCCUGACCUUCCCACUCAGCCUGACAUCCCACAGCUAAGGAGGAAGGGCCCACUGGGCACCCAGUGAAACAGCGUGUCUGGACUGCAGCCACCCUGGCCCUGUGACGGGAAAAGACAUCGGCAUUUGGGCUGCCUGUCACUACCAAACCCAAUAAACAAUGACAGCGAUUGACUCUU